CAGUUCAACGUAACACCACGGCCAGGUGAAUCGAAUGCUUCCGUUUCAUCGAAGUCAUAAUGAAGUUAUGCAUUUUUUAUGCUAAGCGACAUUUAUUUGAAGGCUUUACUAAAUUUUGAGAAAUGCUUGUCAGGACAAAAGACUGAAAAAGACUGAAAAACUGCCUUUAAACACAGCCAUCAUUAAUGUAAAUGGAUUCAUAAGGAGCAUCCAAACAAUAUGUUAUUAGGAUCAUCAGAGACUGGCAAUUUUUUACCACUCACUGUGAUAGAUGCAUCUAAAUAAACAUUGAAAUGUUAAA